UACGUAGGGUGCGAGCGUUGUCCGGAAUUAUUGGGCGUAAAGAGCUCGUAGGCGGUGUGUCACGUCGGCCGUGAAAACCUGCAGCUUAACUGUGGCGUGCGGUCGAUACGGGCAUCACUGGAGUUCGGCAGGGGAGACUGGAAUUCCUGGUGUAGCGGUGAAAUGCGCAGAUAUCAGGAGGAACACCGAUGGCGAAGGCAGGUCUCUGGG
rnacentral:rRNA from 1 species